CUACGGGCUGCACCAGUGGGGAAUAUUGCACAAUGGGCGCAAGCCUGAUGCAGCCAUGCCGCGUGUAUGAAGAAGGCCUUCGGGUUGUAAAGUACUUUCAGCGGGGAGGAAGGGAGUAAAGUUAAUACCUUUGCUCAUUGACGUUACCCGCAGAAGAAGCACCGGCUAAUCCGUGCCAGCAGCCGCGGUAAUACGGAGGGUGCAAGCGUUAAUCGGAAUUACUGGGCGUAAAGCGCACGCAGGCGGUUUGUUAAGUCAGAUGUGAAAUCCCCGGGCUCAACCUGGGAACUGCAUCUGAUACUGGCAAGCUUGAGUCUCGUAGAGGGGGGUAGAAUUCCAGGUGUAGCGGUGAAAUGCGUAGAGAUCUGGAGGAAUACCGGUGGCGAAGGCGGCCCCCUGGACGAAGACUGACGCUCAGGUGCGAAAGCGUGGGGAGCAAACAGGAUUAGAUACCCGAGUAGUC
rnacentral:rRNA from 1 species